rnacentral:rRNA from 1 species
UACGUAGGUGACAAGCGUUGUCCGGAUUUACUGGGCGUAAAGAGCGCGCAGGCGGUCGAUCAAGUCGAGUGUGAAAGCCCCCCGGCUCAACUGGGGGAGGGUCAUUCGAUACUGAUCGACUCGAAGGCAGGAGAGGGUAGUGGAAUUCCACGUGUAGCGGUGAAAUGCGUAGAGAUGUGGAGGAACACCGAUGGCGAAGGCAGCCUUCUGGGCCAACACUGACGCUCAUGCACGAAAGCGUGGGGAGCAAACAGG